rnacentral:rRNA from 1 species
UACGGAGGGGGCUAGCGUUGUUCGGAAUUACUGGGCGUAAAGCGCACGUAGGCGGAUCAGCAAGUUAGGGGGUGAAAUCCCGGGGCUCAACCCCCGGAACUGCCUUUAAAAACUGCUGGUCUGGAGGUCGAGAGAGGUGAGUGGAAUUCCGAGUGUAGAGGUGAAAUUCGUAGAUAUUCGGAGGAACACCAGUGGCGAAGGCGGCUCACUGGCUCGAUACUGACGCUGAGGUGCGAAAGCGUGGGGAGCAAACAGG